rnacentral:rRNA from 1 species
UACGGGGGGGGCAAGCGUUGUUCGGAAUUACUGGGCGUAAAGGGCUCGUAGGCGGCCAACUAAGUCGGACGUGAAAUCCCCAGGCUCAACCUGGGAACUGCGUCUGAUACUGGAUGGCUUGAAUCCGGGAGAGGGAUGCAGAAUUCCAGGUGUAGCGGUGAAAUGCGUAGAUAUCUGGAGGAACACCGGUGGCGAAGGCGGCAUCCUGGACCAACACUGACACUGAGGAGCGAAAGCCAGGGGAGCAAACGGG